CAGUAGCCACGGGAAUACAGAGGAUGCAAGCGUUAUCCGGAAUGAUUGGGCGUAAAGCGUCUGUAGGUGGCUUCUCAAGUCCGCCGUCCAAUCCCAGGGCUCAACCCUGGGCAGGCGGUGGAAACUACCAAGCUAGAGUACGGUAGGGGCGGAGGGAAUUUCCGGUGGAGCGGUGAAAUGCGUUGAGAUCGAAAAGAACACCAACGACGAAAGCACUCUGCUGGGUCGACACUGACACUGAGAGACGAAAGCUAGGGGAGCAAAUGGGAUUAGAGACCCCCGUAGUCCCUGUCUCUUAUAA
rnacentral:rRNA from 1 species